UACGUAGGUGGCAAGCGUUGUCCGGAUUUAUUGGGUUUAAAGGGUGCGUAGGUGGAGUGGUAAGUCAGUGGUGAAAUCUCCAAGCUUAACUUGGAAACUGCCGUUGAUACUAUCAUUCUUGAAUAUCGUGGAGGUAAGCGGAAUAUGUCAUGUAGCGGUGAAAUGCUUAGAUAUGACAUAGAACACCGAUUGCGAAGGCAGCUUGCUACACGAUCAUUGACACUGAGGCACGAAAGCGUGGGGAUCAAACAGG
rnacentral:rRNA from 1 species